rnacentral:rRNA from 1 species
UACAGAGGUCUCAAGCGUUGUUCGGAUUCAUUGGGCGUAAAGGGCGCGUAGGCGGCGGGGUAAGUCGGGUGUGAAAUCUCAGAGCUCAACUCUGAAACUGCACUCGAUACUGCUCUGCUUGAGGACUGGAGAGGAGACUGGAAUUCUUGGUGUAGCAGUGAAAUGCGUAGAUAUCAAGAGGAACACCAGUGGCGAAGGCGAGUCCCUGGACAACACCUGACACUGAGGCACGAAAGCUAGGGGAGCAAACAGG